rnacentral:rRNA from 1 species
CCCUUAGAUGUCCUGGGCCGCACGCGCGCUACACUGAGUGUCUGAGAUACGAGUCUGCCUGGUCCGGCAAGGUCUAGGUAAUCGCUAAAAGACACAUCAUGCUUGGGAUAGAUUAUUGCAAAUAUUAAUCUUGAACGAGGAAUUCCUAGUAAGCGCAAGUCAACAGCUUGCGUUGAUUACGUCCCUGCCCUUUGUACACACCGCCCGUCGCUACUACUGAUUGGAUGUUUAAGCGAGGUUCUCGAACUGCUAGCGACUUAGCUUCGGUGAGGUCGCAGUGUGGGAAUUGAACCUAGCUUUGGUGUCUAGAGGAAGUAAAAGUCGUAACA